rnacentral:lncRNA from 1 species
GUGGAUGCAGCGCCGGACGCCACAACUGAAAAACAGAAUCUUGGAACUGGUUUAGUACAAUCCAGCCAACGAGUGGAUAAAGAAAAUGUGAUAUAUAUGCACUCUGGAAUACUACUCAGCCAUAAGAAGGAAUGAAAUAAUGGCAUUUGCAGCAACCUGGAUGGAGUUGGAGACCAUUAUUCUAAGUGAAGUAACUCAAGAAUGGAAAACCAAAUAUUGUAUGUUCUCACUCAUAAGUGGGAGCUAAGCUGCGAGGAUGCAAAGGCAUAAGAAUGAUAUAGUGGACUUUGGGGACUCUAGGGGUGAAGGAUAAGACUACACAUUGGGUACAGUGUGCACUGCUUGGGUGAUGAGUGCACCAAAAUCUCAGAACUCACCACUGAAGAACUUCCCCAUGUAACCAAAAACCACCUGUUCCACAAAAACUAUAGAAAUAAUAUUUUUAAAACUUUACUAUUUCUGGAUAAAAUUUACAUACAUUUCUCAGAAAAAAAAAAUAUUUAGAAUUGAGGUAUCUAAUAGAGAACUGAGUUAAAUUAUUGCCACUUAAAAACACAGAAAGUGAUAUAGCCACUUUAUGAAUUAAUCAGUCAGCAAUGGCUAGGUUAUGCUUAGUGGUUUAUAACCAAAUCUUAGUAGUUUAUAACAACAAGUGUGUAUUGUUAAUUCCCACUACAAAUUUAUCACGACAUUGCUGGAUGCUACACUCCAUGUCUCUGUGGGACCCAGGCUCGUGGGACUUCCGUUACCUGCAUUAGAGAGA